rnacentral:rRNA from 1 species
UAUUGGUCAAUGGGCGCGAGCCUGAACCAGCCAAGUAGCGUGAAGGAUGACGGCCCUAUGGGUUGUAAACUUCUUUUAUAUGGGAAUAAAGUUUGGUAUGCAUACCAUUUUGUACGUACCAUAUGAAUAAGGAUCGGCUAACUCCGUGCCAGCAGCCGCGGUAAUACGGAGGAUCCGAGCGUUAUCCGGAUUUAUUGGGUUUAAAGGGAGCGUAGGUGGAUUGUUAAGUCAGUUGUGAAAGUUUGCGGCUCAACCGUAGAAUUGCAGUUGAUACUGGCAUCCUUGAGUACAGUAGAGGUAGGCGGAAUUCGUGGUGUAGCGGUGAAAUGCUUAGAUAUCACGAAGAACUCCGAUUGCGAAGGCAGCCUGCUGGACUGUAACUGACGCUGAUGCUCGAAAGUGUGGGUAUCAAACAG